rnacentral:rRNA from 1 species
UACGUAGGGGGCAAGCGUUGUCCGGAAUCAUUGGGCGUAAAGAGCGUGUAGGCGGUUCGGUAAGUCGGCUGUGAAAGUCCAGGGCUCAACCCUGGGAUGCCGGUCGAUACUGCCGGACUAGAGUUCGGAAGAGGCGAGUGGAAUUCCCGGUGUAGCGGUGAAAUGCGCAGAUAUCGGGAGGAACACCUGUGGCGAAGGCGGCCAUCUGGACGACAACUGACGCUGAGACGCGAAAGCGUGGGUAGCAAACAGG